ensembl:miRNA Gm27690 predicted gene, 27690
GGUUUCUCUGUGUAGCCCUGGCUGUCCUGGAACUCAUUCUGUAGACCAGGCUGGCCAUGAACUCAGAAAUUUGCCUGCCUCUGCCUCCCAAAUGCUGGGAUUAAAGGCAUGUGCCACCACUGCCCG